rnacentral:rRNA from 1 species
UACGUAGGGGGGCUAGCGUUGUCCGGAAUCAUUGGGCGUAAAGAGCGUGUAGGCGGCCCGGUAAGUCCGCUGUAAAAAGUCAAAGGCUCAACCUUUGAAUGUCAGUGGAUACUGCCGGGCUAGAGUCCGGAAGAGGCGAGUGGAACUCCUGGUGUAGCGGUGGAAUGCGCAGAUAUCAGGAAGAACACCAACGGCGAAGGCAGCUCGCUAGGACGGUACUGACGCUGAGACGCGAAAGCGUGGGGAGCGAACAGG